AUACGGAGGGUCCAAGCGUUAUCCGGAAUCAUUGGGUUUAAAGGGUCCGUAGGCGGGCAAUUAAGUCAGGGGUGAAAUCCCACAGCUCAACUGUGGCACUGCCUUUGAUACUGGUUAUCUUGAGUUAUAGGGAAGUAGAUAGAAUAUGUAGUGUAGCGGUGAAAUGCAUAGAUAUUACAUAGAAUACCGAUUGCGAAGGCAGUCUACUAUCUGUAUACUGACGCUAAGGGACGAAAGCGUGGGGAGCGAACAGGAUUAGAAACCCUAGUAGUCC
rnacentral:rRNA from 1 species